rnacentral:rRNA from 1 species
UACGUAGGGGGCAAGCGUUGUCCGGAAUCAUUGGGCGUAAAGCGCGUGUAGGCGGCUCGGUAAGUCCGCUCUGAAAGUCCAGGGCUCAACCCCGGGAGGCGGGUGGAUACUGGAGAGCUCGAGUCCGGAAGAGGAGUGUGGAAUUCCUGGUCGUGAGCGGUGAAAUGCGCAGAUAUCAGGAGGAACACCAAUGGCGAAGGCAGCACAUCUGGGACGGUACUGACGCUGAGACGCGAAAGCGUGGGAGCAACAGG